GGACAAGUCACCGCGGAGAAAGCGGGGACGCAGCGGGGCAGGGACGACGUUACCGUGGGGACGCGGAGUUCAGUAAGCCACAAGCACGGAUUUGCAGUCCCGUAGCCCGAAGUCCUAAAUGGAUUCCGGUCUCCUUCUAUGCCUGUGUGACACCACUCAGUAGAUCCUGGUAAGUGUCCAUUGGAGUCAGAGGAAAGGGGUGUGAGCCGCAAAUAGCAGGGAGAUGUGUGUCACUUCCACACAGAGACAGAAUUUGUGCAGGGGCCAUCCACUAAGAAUAAACCAGCCACCCAAAACUCAUCCUCUAAGCAUGCUCCAGCCAUCCAAAACCCGUCCUCGAAGCAUGCGCCAGCCAACCAAAAGCCUGCCAGUGGGACGAAGGUAUGUGGCGUCUCUUGCAGGUACUCUCUGCUUCCAGAACAGUUGCUAGAGCCAGGUGCCAGGCUCACUGUCUCAGCGCUGUACCUCACAGUUCUCUAACAAUCCCCAUGUCUCAGCUCUGAAAGAAGACGCUCUCAUUGUCUCACAGCUGAUCAGCCACCAUCUAAGCCUGACCUCUACUGAGUGGAGGAUGUGGGGGAAAUGGGACACAAGGCAAGAUCUUCAGUCACAGAGUCUCCCAGGCACUGUGCUCCUUGCUCUCAGAGUCCUCCAAGGAGAGCCUGGAGCUGCGGCAAAUCGGUACCAGGGAAAACCUUUAGCUAAGUCAGGGUAGCUUCACCUCCUCAGGGCAGUGAGGUGUGUGGUCCUAGCCAGCAGUGUCAGCUGGCUGUGGGCUGUGGGUGCCGUGGACAGGUGAUAGCAGAGAUCCGGGCCUGCGGGUCCUCUCACCUGCCCCUCCCUCUGAAGCCUGCGCAGCCCAGGGUAGCCAGUGGACGGUGUGUCUGCUCUCUCUGUUCCUGCCAUUCCUGGCAGCCUCGUGCCUCAGGCUCAGCAGGAGUCUCCGCCUCUUCUGACUGCUCCUUAUUUCCACCUCUCCAUAUACAGCAUUCCACAUCAAAAUGAGGAAUGGAACAGGAAUCUCCUGAUCUGCCCAUGAGAGAGGACCUGUCUUCAAGAGAAUCAGCAGAAGACUUUAAAUAAAUAACUCUUAACCCCAUAUUUAACUGUACAAAAUUAAUAAAGAGAGCUUU